rnacentral:rRNA from 1 species
UUUUGAGAGGAGCUGUCCUUAGUACGAGAGGACCGGGAUGGACAUACCUCUGGUGUACCAGUUGUCGUGCCAACGGCAUAGCUGGGUAGCUAUGUAUGGACGGGAUAAGUGCUGAAAGCAUCUAAGCAUGAAGCCCCCCUCAAGAUGAGAUUUCCCAACUUCGGUUAUAAGAUCCCUCGAAGAUGACGAGGUUAAUAGGUUCGAGGUGGAAGCGUGGUGACACGUGGAGCUGACGAAUACUAAUCGAUCGAAGACUUAAUCAA